CAAACGACUCUCGGCAACGGAUAUCUCGGCUCACGCAUCGAUGAAGAACGUAGCAAAAUGCGAUACUUGGUGUGAAUUGCA
rnacentral:rRNA from 2 species